rnacentral:rRNA from 1 species
UACCCAGACUCCUACGGGAGGCAGCAGUGAGGAAUAUUGGUCAAUGGCCGGAAGGCUGAACCAGCCAAGCCGCGUGAAGGACGAAGGUGCCAAGCAUUGUAAACUUCUUUUGUCAAGGGACAAAAUCAGGCUCGAGAGCCUGACCGAGGGUACUUGAAGAAAAAGCAUCGGCUAACUACGUGCCAGCAGCCGCGGUAAUACGUAGGGGGCAAGCGUUAUCCGGAUUUACUGGGUGUAAAGGGAGCGUAGGCGGUUAGAUAAGUCUGAUGUGAAAGCCCACAGCUUAACUGUGGGAUUGCAUUGGAAACUAUAGAACUAGAGUGUCGGAGAGGUAAGUGGAAUUCCUAGUGUAGCGGUGAAAUGCGUAGAUAUUAGGAGGAACACCAGUGGCGAAGGCGGCCUGCUGGACUGCGACUGACGUUGAGGCCCGAAAGCGUGGGGAGCAAACAGGAUUAGAUACCCGCGUA